ACAACAACCCUAAUCGUUUUCCCCAACCAUUCCCCGUUCCGAACCCUAGCUACGCCGCCUCAACCCCUUCCCCCAUCUCCUCCGCCUCAACCCCUUCUCCGAUCUCCGCCGCCGGCUUCCGCAAAAUCAUUCUCUCACCUAUCUUUUUUUUUGUUUUUCACAAUUCUGGCUUGUUGGAGGGCAAAGAUGAAGAGAGCUUUAAUAUUCUGACACCUCUUGUAUGAGAAGAGCUUUGAGCACUUCUCUGAGCACAGAUAGCGACUCUCUGAGCCCUCGCCCUCGCCCUCCCCCUCCUUCUCCCCCUAUCCUUUUUUUUCUUUUUUUAACUUGUAUUUUCGAUCUCGUUACAAGGCUUUCUUAGAAACCCCAGGCAUUCAGCUGCCUCCAUAGACGUCUGAUCUCUAUCUUUCCCCAUUUUGUUUCACAUCCAACUCUGUAUUUUCUUUUGUUUUUUUGUCAUUUUUAAACUCUCUCUCUCUCUCUCUCUCUCUCUCUCUCUCUCUCUCUCUCUCUCUCUCAUCUUCUUCUGUCUCAGAUGCUGUACGAGCUUCGUUCGCCGUCCGAUCCGAUCCGAUCCGAUCGGGUCUGAUCUUCUGGUCCUUCGAGGGAUCGAGCAUAGAGUCCUGCCAGACUGAGUUUAGCUAGUAGACAGUCAUUGCCAGAAUUUGUGAGAUAUUAGACAUUGUAUCUCUCUUUUGGGAAUUGUAGUAGCAGGUUAUGUUUUUAAUUAUGUUUGGAUGUAAAUGGGAAAUAGCUAGAUACUCUAGUAACUUUUUGAAGAUGUAUGUAUGUAUUUCCACUGUUUAUGUUUAUACAGAACAUUAUGGAACACCCGUUUUCUCCU